CCAGUCCUGUAAAACUGCCCCACCCCUAUCUCCCUUUGCUGACUCUCUUUUCAGACUAAGCCCACUUUUACCCAAGUGAAAUAAACAGCCUUGCUGCUCACACAAAGUCUAUUGGUGGACUCUCUUCACAUGGACACGCUUGACAUUUGGUGCCUUGACUCAGAUCAGGGGACCUCCCUUGGGAGAUCAAUCCCCUGUCCUGCUGCUGUUUGCUCUGUCAGAAUAUCCACCUAUGACCUUGGGUCCUCAGACCAGCCCAAGAAACACCUCACCAAUUUUAAAUCGGAGGAGACGCGUUUUAUCCGUAAACCCAAAACUCCAGCGCCGGUCACGGACUUGGGAAGACAUUCUUCCCUUGGUGUUUGAUCACC
rnacentral:lncRNA from 1 species